GGUGAGCGAGAGAACUAUAGCUAAGGAACUCUGCAAAAUGACCCCGUAACCUAGGGAGAAGGGGUGCUCCAGAAAUGGAGCCGCAGUAAAACGGCCCAAGCGACUGUUUACCAAAAACACAGCUCUCUGCGAAGGCGCAAGCCGAAGUAUAGGGGGUGACGCCUGCCCGGUGCCGGAAGGUUAAGGGGAAGGGUUAGGGCAACCGAAGCUCUGAACCGAAGCCCCGGUCAAUGGCGGCCGUAACUAUAACGGUCCUAAGGUAGCGAAAUUCCUUGUCGGGCAAGUUCCGACCUGCAUGAAUGGCGUAACGAUCGGAGCACUGUCUCAGCGGAGGGCCCGGUGAAAUUCCAAUCUUGGUGAAGAUGCCAAGUUACCCGCGAUUAGACGGCAAGACCCCAUGAAGCUUUACUGUAUCCUAAUAUGGUAUAGUGGUGGAAGGCGUACAGGAUAGGUGGGAGGCAGCGAACGCAGCGCGUCAGCGCUGCGGGAGCCGACGGUGGGAUACCACCCUCCUUCCAGCGUUAUACUAACCGAGGUAGGUGGAGAGCCUAUCAGGGACAGUGUUAGGGGGGCAGUUUGACUGGGGCGGUCGCCUCCAAAAAGGUAACGGAGGCGCGCGAAGGUGGGCUCAGGCUGGUUGGGAAUCAGCUGGCGAGUGCAAGGGCAAAAGCCCGCCUGACAGUGAGAGAGACAUCUCGAGCUGAGACGAAAGUCGGUCCUAAUGACCAGGUGGUGCUGUGUGGAAAGGCCAUCGCUCAACGGACAAAAGCUACUCUGGGGAUAACAGGCUGAUACCGUCCGAGAGUCCAUAUCGACGACGGUGUUUGGCACCUCGAUGUCGGCUCAUCGCAUCCUGGGGCUGUAGUCGGUCCCAAGGGUUGGGCUGUCCGCCCAUUAAAGCGGUACGUGAGCUGGGUUCAGAACGUCGUAAGACAGUUCGGUCCCUAUCUGUCGCGGGCGCAGGAUACUUGAGAAGGCUUCUCCCCAGUACGAGAGGACCGGGAGGAGUGGACCGCUGGUGAACCAGUUGUGCUACCAAGCGCAUAAGCUGGGUAUCUAAGUCCAUGAGUGAUAAGCGCUGAAAGCAUCUAAGCGCGAAACAUGCUUCAAGAUGAGGUAUCCCAUCGAAAGAGUAAGGGCCGUUCGAGAACAGGACGUAGAUAGGCCGCAGGUGGAAGCGGCGCGAGCCGUGCAGCCGAGCGGUACUAAUCGCCCGAGGCCUUGACCUU
rnacentral:rRNA from 1 species